rnacentral:tRNA from 1 species
UGUUAUGAAGCUCAUUUUAGUGUUUUCAUUGUUAGUGAUAAAGGAGGUGAG